rnacentral:tRNA from 47 species
CGGAUGUAGCCAAGUGGAUCAAGGCAGUG